AUUUAUUGAGAUUUAAAGGAUUAUAAAUUCGUUUAGUUAUUCUCGUAACCUAGAAGGAAUUAUGCUCUGAUGAAUUUCUAGAAGUUUCGAAGCAUUCCAAUAUGUCGAGAAUGUGUGAUAAAUCAAUAGAAACCGUUAACAUCAUAUUAUCGAAGCAACUAUGAAAACAUUCAUCACAUGUAGAUGUAUAUACAUUACGGUUUACUGACGACAAAUGUGGUAAUAUCUGUACCUUUAUUUUGUCAAAUUUGACCAAAAACUGUCAUAUAUAAUACUACAUUUUAUGUACGAAAGAGAAUUCUCUUUUAGAUCUUUCAAGCGUAAGUCGACGCCAUGAUUUUACAACAUGUAAUGGCGUCAUUACUCUUUGCACACGAUCCAUAUUUUUCUAUCAAAUAUAUUUAUAUUGACUAUUAAAUCAUAUUUAAUCGUAUUAAUAUUACAUUAGCGUAGUAUAUGUAAUUUUUGUCUUAAUUAAUGUUUCUUAUAGAAUUUCGUAUGAUCAUUAAUGAACAUAAACUCCGGUUGCUGAAAGUAUAUUCCUGGCAUUAACGAUUACGUAUCUCGGCGUUUCUAGAUGUGACCAGUCGUAAGUCAGUUGUGUUGUCAACAAAGAAACAAGGAACACAAGUAGUUUAUUCUUUCGUUCCGGUCAAUAAAUAAUCUUUGAUUUGUGGAAGUUAAAAUUUUCGAGAGUGGCCGCAAUGAAGUACGUCUCGGCGUAUAGGCGAUGUACUUAAACCGUAAACGAUAGAGGACGACAAACACUGAAUAAGCGUUGAAGAAGAAAUAGAAGAAAAGAGAUGUAAAAAAUAUUCCUGGUCAAGGAACUUUUACUUUUUCUUUCUUUUCUGUGACAUAUGUAUUGCGAAGCGAAGGGUAUAUGUCCACGCGUUCUCAAUUGCUUGCAUCGUUGCCACGUCCACAUUACAAUAUGAGCCCAAAUUGCAAAAACUGAAAACUAAAUAUGUAUCUAAAAUAGCUUUUGUUACCAAUUCUACUAUUUUAAAUGUAUUUAAUCUAUGUGAAUUAAAAUAUGCUAUUAGUAUAGUUGAGUAAGUUGAUAAAAAAUGUAAAUGAUUCUAUUUUAUAAUUUUUAUUUUAAAUCUGAAGAGUUGUUGAAGGUAGAGAUAUCACUGUUUACGCUUAAACGUACCGAGGAAUCAUAUAACAGGCUCAAGUUUAUGCAGCUAUACAUAUAUGCCAAUGAAUAACCUUGGAGCUUCAAUCAACUUGCUUACUUCUACAAAGCAAGAAAUUCAACGAUUUUCAAAAACGAAUACCAUCGAUUAAAAAUCCCCAAGUUUUGAUAACGCGAUACCAUAAUUUAGAUAAUAUUCAACGCUCGCACCAUAAAUACAUAUGGAUCAUGUAUUUUGGGUAAUAAUGAUGUAUAUCACGCGUAACCGUAUAUAGAUAGGAAAACAUUCACUAUUCUGCGCCAUCAGCGAUCAUUUCAAAUCUACGGAAACUCGUGGGUGGAUGGUUAUAUACGCUAAACAGAUUGCCGGUUUAUUUAAACGACGGUGUGUAACGAAAUACGAUGAUGUGCUUGGGAUGAUUCCAAUUUAGCAACCUAGUUUUUUCCCUCGUGUAUCCAAGUGGCGCGCUUUUUUUUCAAGAAAUAAACUGGGUCACACGAUGGCAACGAAGUGUGCGUAUACACGUGUCCAUCGACGAAGAGAAUCGGACGAGUGAACAAGCACGAAAGCAACGUGCUAGAAUAUAAGUUGCAAAGGUGGCGGAUGUAGACGCAUACAAGCAGUGGUAGAGAGGUAUAACGACCUUUGCGGCUCACAGUGAACGUGCGGAAAUCAUUUGUAUAAAAUUUCUAAUCGCAAAGUUCGCGCUAUUGUUAGUCGGUACGCGACGCACGAUCAGGAAAUAAAAUGGCAACAGGAGGAGCGUGAGAACUCACGUAGAGAGAAACGAUUUGUAGGUGGAAAGAACUCCCACAACGUUUCAGCAAUUACAUAUCUCGGAUAAGUUGAAUAGUUGCAUGCAUGUUUCAUGUUGCUUAAUAACAAAGAAUGACGAGUGUUUCAUAGAUCUAUUUGUUAUUUUAUUACUUUUUUAAUUAUUUUGGAAUUAUUUUUAAAAUCUCAGAUGUGUCCUACACCGAUUAUUAUUAUCGGCACAAUCUAACCGGAAACUCGACUAGCAAUUAAUUUCACCGAACCGCUGAUACGACACUAGCAAGAACGAGCAUGUCGAGGCUAGAGGACCAGAAAAGCGAAGUGGAAGAAGGGUACGUUUAGUAAGGGAGUAAUUAGCAAGUCUCUAGAUAGAAACGAUACCUAUCUCGAUAGCUCGUGAGCCAUAAUACGGACAAAACGGGCGAAUAAGGAGAACUUGAACGACACAGCCGUUCAUUCACAGACUAUAUGUAUCUUGGGAUACGUUGUACUUGGUAUUCGUACGUCCCUGAUCGUUCCGAUCUAUAUCUACUAAUCCUAAAAAUAUUUAUAAACGGUAAAAUAUAAUACGAGCAAUAAGGUACUGUUAUCGAGUGCUGAACGACUGUCCAUUUUACUACAUUUAUUUGACUUUCCAAUUAUGCAUAUACUUGCAGUCAGAUGAAUAAUUCACCUUUUAAAAAUAUCAAAAUCGCGGUAGACUCGUAAAGGCCAAGGGAAGGAAGGCAACGAAGGACAGAAGCGACUAAAGGAAGCUUCGAAGCGAGCCUGCGCCGUCUAACCGACACGUAUAAAUAAA